rnacentral:rRNA from 1 species
GACGAACGCUGGCGGCGUGCUUAACACAUGCAAGUCGAACGGCAAGGCCCUGCUUUUGUGGGGUGCUCGAGUGGCGAACGGGUGAGUAACACGUGAGUAACCUGCCCUUGACUUUGGGAUAACUUCAGGAAACUGGGGCUAAUCCCGGAUAGGAGCUCCUGCUGCAUGGUGGGGGUUGGAAAGUUUCGGCGGUUGGGGAUGGACUCGCGGCUUAUCAGCUUGUUGGUGGGGUAGUGGCUUACCAAGGCUUUGACGGGUAGCCGGCCUGAGAGGGUGACCGGCGACAUUGGGACUGAGAUACGGCCCAGACGCCUACGGGAGGCAGCAGUGGGGAAGAUUGCACAAUGGGCGGAAGCCUGAUGCAGCAACGCCGCGUGCGGGAUGACGGCCUUCGGGUUGUAAACCGCUUUCGCCUGUGACGAAGCGUGAGUGACGGUAAUGGGUAAAGAAGCACCGGCUAACUACGUG